GCGGUAACCAGAGGGAGAAAGAUCGUGAAAGGGCUCAGUCCCGGGUCUCCAAGGGCGGCAAGCAGCAGGGCAAGAAUGAUGGGUUGACUCCUGAGCAACGCCGGGAAAGAGAUGCAAAGGCACUGCAGGAGAAAGCAGCGAAGAAAGCAGCUCAGGAAGCAGCUGGGAGUAAAGCUGCAGGUGGUAGUGGUGGAGGCAAAAAAUAAGCGAGGAUGAUUGUCAGAUAGGCAUGGAAAUAUCUGUAUUAAUUAUAUUCUGACGUUUAGUUUCAAGUUCACGGUCAUCUAUGAGUGUCAUUUGAUGUAAACUAGUGUUUCAGGAUUGAUGUUGGCUGGUGUGAACCUUUGACUUUUAUUUAUUUGGAAGACCAUUCUAUCUGUUGUGUUUUCCACUAAAUUUCUGCUAUUAAAUUUAGCAAAUCUGGUUGCAUGUA